UACGAAGGGGGCUAGCGUUGUUCGGAAUUACUGGGCGUAAAGGGCGCGUAGGCGGCGCUACAAGUCAGGUGUGAAAGCCCUGGGCUCAACCCGGGAAUUGCACUUGAUACUGUAGUGCUUGAGUUCGGGAGAGGUGAGUGGAAUUCCCAGUGUAGAGGUGAAAUUCGUAGAUAUUGGGAAGAACACCAGUGGCGAAGGCGGCUCACUGGACCGACACUGACGCUGAGGCGCGAAAGCGUGGGGAGCAAACAGG
rnacentral:rRNA from 1 species